GACCUGUUCUUCCAAUGGUUAGGAAACCUGACUCUCAAUCAGGAAAUAGGGGUUCGACUCCCCUACAGGCCA
rnacentral:tRNA from 1 species